rnacentral:sRNA from 2 species
UCCUAGCCCCGAUAGAAGUGGAAAUCCUUUUUUGUUUUUCCUUUAAAAACAAAAAAGAUUGCAACGAAUAGUGGGAUUAGCU